AUUGAACGCUGGCGGCAGGCCUAACACAUGCAAGUCGAGCGAGCGGCGGACGGGUGAGCAAUGUCUGGGAAACUGCCUGAUGGAGGGGGAUAACUACUGGAAACGGUAGCUAAUACCGCAUACCAUCAGAUUUGCCCAGUUGGGAUUAGCUAGUAGGUGGGGUAACGGCUCACCUAGGCGACGAUCCCUAGCUGGUCUGAGAGGAUGACCAGCCACACUGGACCUGGGACACGUUCCAGACUCCUACGGGAGGCAGCAGUGGGGAAUAGUGCACAAGGGGCGCAAGCCGGAUGCAGCCAUGCCGCGUGUGUGAAGAAGGCCUUCGGGUUGUAAAGCACUUUCAGCGGGGAGGCGUUACCCGCAGAAGAAGCACCGGCUAACUCCGUGCCAGCAGCCGCGGUAAUUC
rnacentral:rRNA from 1 species